GUGGUAUAAUACAGGACUAGGCUAGCUGGAAAGACUGGAGGGAGAGAGAGAAGAGAGAUGAAGCUGCUGCUUUUUGGAAGUGCUGCUUUUUGGAAGGCAAAGCUUGUUUCCAAACUUUGGAGCUAAGAAGAUCAUAGAGCUGAAACUGCAAGCUGGGAGAGCUGAACCGUUCUCUCUGGGAGACCAGCAGUAGCUGGGAAGAGCUGAUGAAGCAAACAAGAGCAAAGAGCAGGAAUUGCUGGCAGCUGAACUUGUCCUCAUCUUGCUAGGAGAAAAGGGAAACUACUCCUAGGGCAACAGGCAAGCUCCAGGAUUCAGACAGCGUCUUCACAAAAAGAGUCCUGCUGUGGCAAGGCCUGGAUAUUUGGGACUGUUCCAGGCAUAGCUGCGCACUUUAGCAAGGGAUUGUGAGUAGGACUCUGCUCUGGGGUCACUGGUUACUGAUCCAGUAUUGAUAACUUUGGGAAUGUUUUCAUAGUUGUGUUCUGCUAUAUUUAAAUAAAUUAGAUUUAUAUUUUGAAUUGGUAAACCUAUCUCUAGACAUUGAACCUGGUCCUCGGGACUUUGGGGGUUACAUAUGUCUCCAUGUAUAUGCUACAGUUGCUCAUGGAUGCAGUUAACGUCUGCUUGGGGCUAUUCCAGUAGAGCCUUCAUUUAUGGCUACAAGAAGUUAAGCAUGAGUGACGUGUAUGGUGGAUUUGUAUACAAAAUUUUGAGGCUGCAGCUGCUCUUCUACCCUACACUAUCCUUCCUGACCAACAAUCUGUUUUAGGGAUUAAAAUGUUAAUGGUGUUAAUGUUUAAUGCCACCUCUUUAGUAAUAAUAUAUUUAUUUUAAAAAAAUAAUCUUGUUGAUUAUUUAAGAUAUUCUUCCUGCUCCAGAAAAACCCUACCUUACAGUCACUUUAGGAUUUUAUUCUGGUUCCGUUCAAGAAAUUCUUUCUUACUCACUAUCCUGACUCAAGUGCUUGUUUGCAUUCUACUAGGAACCAAAGAGUAAUUUGUGUCGUAUAUUUCUGGCUGAAGACUAAAAGUAAGCCAUUAGGACGGGGGGCGUGGCGUCGCAGCGGAGAGGAAUGGACGCAUGUUGAGAACGCUCCGACCCUCCCGAUCCCAAAGCCUCACCAACAAACACUACGAGGGGAAAUAAAUCAAAGAAAAUAAUGCUUACAAACCCCAUCAAGAAAAAGAAAAACAACUUGAAAACGGUGAAAAACCUACAAACAUUUUUCGCGGCUUCAGGAGAGUCGACGGGGAAGGAACGCAGCAACACGGAGAAAAAUAAAAUGGCGGAACUCGUCGCAAAUGAAGGCGCGGCGGAGGUAGGCCAACCAGAAAACUAUUUGGAUCCCCAACUAAUACAAUUAAAACAAGAUAUUAUAGAGCAAAUGGCCAAACUAAUAAGCCCAAUUACAACACAACUCGCAGACAUAAAACGCGAUUUACAAUCGGUUAAUCAUAAGGCCGAUAAAGCUAUGGAAGUGAGUGUGAAGUCACAACAGGACAUUAACGACAUGCAAAAAACAAUCAUAGAACAACAAGACAGACUAAUGAAACUCGAAUUAAAUGCCAGACAAAAUCAGAUUAAAAUAAGGGGGAUAGAUGAACUACUCACGUACAAUACAGAUCUCACAAGCUUUAUUGCCAACUGGCUAGCUAAGCAAUUAAAGCUGGAAGAAGGAGUCUAUCCCUACAUCACAAAAACUUAUCGAGUGGGACCUUAUCACCAAAAUAAAAAUAAAGAUCGCCCGAGAGAUAUAAUUAUCGAGAUACCAGAUCAAAGGACAAGAAAGAAGAUAAUGGAAGAAGCCAGAGCAAGAGGAUCGUUCAAAUGUGAAGGCAAACUGAUAUAUAUUUUCGCUGAUCUUCCAAAGGAAGUGCUAGCCAAAAGAAGAGAACUCAAACCAAUUUCGGAGACUCUGCAAAGAGCGAAUAGAAGAUAUAAAUGGCUGGACCAAUGCAAACUUAUGGUCUUUCACCAAGGCAAAAAGUAUAUAGCAACGGAUGUCGACACGGGACUAGAGCUUUUAAACGCAGUCGGGCUUGAAACACCAAUGGAGACGAACAAGCAAAACCAAAAAAGAAAAUCUUCUGAUCUACUAUCUCCACAGAAAGGGAGCAAGAUCCCCAUCAGAGACACUUAAUUUUCCCUAUCGUUGCUCCUCAACGAAUAGAGGUUUUUCAUGUUGAAGUCCUUGCCAUUCCAGAGGGUCCCAUAGGCAUCAGGCUUCCAGUGUCUCAGCUCUGCAGUGCUGACUGCAAUAUUUUCAGAAGAAUGAACUGAAACAGAAUUGUCACAUCAAACAUAUGUGUGCCAACCUUUCUAAAAGGGCCAUGUGACCUUUCUUUCAACAGUCCUCUGGCUGAAAUAUCUAAAGUGUGAAUUAUGGAAUUGAAGGCCAUCACCUUUCACUGUGCUAGAAGGAUUUGUAAAUUAGCCUUGGAAAGCUAUAGUAAGCAAGAAUCAUUUUUCUCCUGCUAGUAAAGUCACCUCUGAAGGAAAAAGUCACUGUGCACUUUAUAAAGUGUGCA